AGUGAACGCUGGCGGUAGGCCUAACACAUGCAAGUCGAACGGCAGCACAGUAAGAGCUUGCUCUUACGGGUGGCGAGUGGCGGACGGGUGAGGAAUAUAUCGGAAUCUACUUUUUCGUGGGGGUUAACGUAGGGAAACUUACGCUAAUACCGCAUACGACCUACGGGUGAAAGCAGGGGAUCUUCGGACCUUGUGCGAUUGGAUGAGCCGAUGUCGGAUUAGCUAGUUGGCGGGGUAAAGGCCCACCCAGGGGACGAUCCGUAGCUGGUCUGAGAGGAUGAUCAGCCACACUGGAACUGAGACACGGUCCAGACUCCUACGGGAGGCAGCAGUGGGGAAUAUUGGACAAUGGGCGCAAGCCUGAUCCAGCCAUACCGCGUGGGUGAAGAAGGCCUUCGGGUUGUAAAGCCCUUUUGUUGGGAAAGAAAAGCAGCAGGUUAAUACCCCGCUGUUCUGACGGUACCCAAAGAAUAAGCACCGGCUAACUUCGUG
rnacentral:rRNA from 1 species